rnacentral:lncRNA from 1 species
AAUCCAACAGGACCCACUCGAGCCAUCCACACUUUCCCCAGCCUCCUCCAAAACAGCACACUCAGAGACCGAGGGGCUCACUAGGUUGACCAGGCUGGUCUUGAACUCCUGGUCUCAAGCCAUCCUCCCACCUCAGCCUCCCAAAGUGCUGGGAUUACAUGCAUGAGCCACCACAUCCAGCCUACCUAAAAUAUUGAAUGCUGUUAAUAAAUCUCCUGAGGCCAGCAUAAGAAGGUGAUGGGCAAAACUAAUGCAGGGUUUCAGUUGUGCAAUUUCACCAUUAGCAAAGCUUUUUGCUGAAAUCUGGCUUUUCAAAGGGAGAGUAUCCAGAAACAGAAGAUGCUGAUCUGGGAGGCUCUUCCUAAUAGAACUGCUGCUUCAGUUUAACUUGAAAAAGCCCACACCCAGUUCCUAAUGACAAACAUCUGAACACCGGGUCUUCCCCUGAGCAAGACCAUGCUAUGCCUCCUGCUCGCUCUGUUCUAUAAGCAACCCACAGAUUGCUCCCUGUGAAGAGGAGCCUGCCAGGGGAGCAGCAUUCCACCAGACCCUGAUUUAGCAAG